GGUUACUGACUCCAGUCGCUAUGGUAACGUGGCCCGCGCUGUAGGUUCGGGCGGGAGAGUGCUGGCGCUCGGAAUCCUGGAGACCCGGGUCCCAGCUGGCGCAGCUCUAGGUCGCACGCGGGAGACGAAGCUAAUUCCGCUGGGACCGUCCUGGCACACGCGCCAUCACCAUGCUGCCGCUAUGUUCAGAGCGGGAACUGAAUGAGCUUUUGGCUCGAAAGGAGGAGGAAUGGCGAGUCCUCCAGGCCCACCGUGCGCAGCUGCAGGAGGCAGCUCUACAGGCUGCUCAGAACCGCCUGGAGGAGACACAGGGGAAGCUGCAACGCCUACAGGAGGACUUUGUUUACAACCUUCAGGUGCUGGAAGAGCGGGACCGGGAGCUGGAGCGCUAUGAUGUUGAGUUCACCCAGGCCCGCCAGCGGGAGGAGGCCCAACAAGCAGAGGCCAGUGAGCUCAAGAUAGAGGUGGCCAAGCUGAAACAAGACCUCACCAGGGAGGCCAGGCGAGUGGGGGAGCUGCAGCAUCAGCAUCAGCUAAUGCUGCAGGAGCAUCGCUUGGAGUUGGAGCGCGUCCACAGUGACAAGAACAGCGAACUGGCCCACCAGCGGGAACAGAAUGAGCGCCUGGAGUGGGAACUGGAGCGAAAACUGAAGGAACUCGAUGGUGAACUUGCUCUGCAGAGACAGGAGCUGCUGCUGGAGUUUGAAUCUAAAAUGCAGAGAAGAGAGCAUGAGUUCCAGCUGAGGGCUGACGACAUGAGCAACGUAGUCCUGACACAUGAGCUCAAGAUAAAACUACUAAACAAAGAGCUGCAAGCUCUGAGAGACGCUGGAGCACGGGCAGCAGAGAGUCUGCAGAAGGCAGAAGCAGAACACGUGGAAUUAGAGAGGAAGCUGCAGGAGCGUGCCCGGGAACUCCAGGAUCUGGAGGCCGUGAAGGACGCUCGGAUAAAGGGCUUGGAGAAGAAGCUUUACUCGGCACAGCUGGCCAAGAAGAAAGCUGAGGAGACUUUCAGGAGGAAACAUGAAGAGCUUGACCGUCAAGCCAGGGAGAAAGACACAGUGCUGGCGGCAGUGAAGCGCGCCCAUGCAGAGGAGCUGCAGACGCUGGACGCCAAGGUGCUGGAGCUUCAGUUCCUCUGUGAAACCCUGGAGGGACAACUGCGCAGGGCUGAGUGCACAAGAGCAGAGGACGCCAAGGAGAAGAACGCCCUUACUGACAAAUUUCGUGAAGAUGCGGCAGCUCUGAAAGCUGCCUGGGACGCCCAGAUCACGCAGAUGUCCAAGGAGACUGUCUCCAAAGACUUUCAGAUUCACACGCUGCAGGAAGAAGAGAUGAAGCUCAAGGCACAGGUGGCCAGAUUCCAACAGGACAUAGACAGGUACAAGCAGCAGCUGUCCCUGGCAGUGGAGAGGGGACAGAGCCUGGAGCGUGAACAGGUACAGCUAGGCCUUGACUGGCAGCGUCGCUGCGAUGAUAUUGAACGAGACCAGAUCCAGAAAUCGGAGACUUUGAUCGAAGGGCUGACCAAGGCCAGGGAUCAGGUCGCUGCUAAACUCCAGGAGACAGAGAAGGCACUGCGUCAGCAGGAGACUCUGCUGAAGGCUGUGUCACUGGAGCGAGACCAAGCUAUGGAAACCCUACGUACACAUGGGCUCCUUCCUGGACAGGAGGCACAGGUACCUCCUCAGCAGCAUGAAGGAGAAAUAAGGGCAGAUUCUCCAUCUACUGAGAUCCAGAGGCUACAGGAACAGAAUGCAGGUCUGCGGAACGCUGUUUCACAGAUGAGGAGAGAGAUGGAGAUGCUGAGCGGUCAUCUCCCCCCUGCCCAGCCAGAAGAGUGUUCAAAUGCAGACCCUGAUCCCAAGGCUGGAGGAGACUCCACCCCUCCAGCGGGCACCAUGAUUGCUUCUAAGGGACCAGUACCUGAUAUGGGAGUUAUUCCCCUCCAUUCAGCAAGCCUAUAGGAGUGGAGGCAGGCAAAUUCUCACUCCCGAUCCCAAAGCCUUCCUAGAAGACAUGGAGGCUAAGCUGAGAAGUGAAAGUCGGUCCAGAGAGUCCCGGGGAGUGCAGAGAGAUCAGGGGCAGAGGAGAGCCCGUGAGCCCUGAAGCUUUGGCAGUAAGACAAUGGUGUAAGUGUGCCUGUGAGUGUGUGUUGUGUUGUUCCCUCGUGUCUUGGCAGAUUAUGUUCUGACCCUUGAAGCAGAAAUGCAAAAUCUAAAGCAUAAACUUAAGGCAUUGGAGGAACAACUACAAAGCACAGAAGAGCCAGUGAAGACGUCCGUGGCCACUGCUGAUCCACACCAUGGUGUCCACAGCUCUGCAGCAGCAGCUGACGCAGCUCUGGCAGACCAGACAUCCACUGCAUUAGCACUCAGAAAACUUGGAGACAGAGUGCACCUCUUGAACUUGCUGGUGACACAGCUCAAAAGGAAGGUGAGACUAGUCUGGACACUUAGGUUUUGCAAGCAUUCCAGCUGAAGAACCAAUCCAGAUGUGGACACAGGUGCAGGCUCUGAGAGGUGCCAGGUGUGACCUCAUUGACCUUGGGUGUCUUCCCAAUUUCUGUUUUCUUCAGAACAAAGGACUGCACUGUGCAGUAGUUGGUUUAUCUUAUGGGGGUUUUUUGUUUGUUUGUUUGUUUGGUUUGUUUGUUUGUUUUUUUGAGACAGGGUUUCUCUGUGUAGCCCUGGCUGUCCUAGAACUCACUUUGUAGACCAGGCUGGCCACGAAUUCUGAAAUCCGCCUGCUUCUGCCUCCUGAGUGCUGGGAUUAAAGGUGUGUGCCACCAUGCCCAGCGGUUUAUCUUAUGUGUGGCUAUAGAUAAUUCACAGGGAAUCCUGAUAUGGUGGUAAGUGUCUGUUGUCCCAGCACUGAGGAGGUAGAGGCAGGGGGCUCAAGGUCAUCCAUGGCUAUAGAGAGAGUUGGAGGCCAGCCUGAGAUACAUGAGACCCUAUCCCAAAACAGCAGCAGCAGCAACAACCACAAUGUAUACACAUACAUUUAUGCAUAUGUAUACACAUAAAUAUGUGCAUAGACAUACAUUUGUAGAUGUGUUUAUGUACAUUAUGUAGCCUAUAAGUAUAUGUAUAGAUGCACGAUGCAUAUACGUACUUUAUAUGUACACAUAUAUAUGAAGAGAAAGAAGAAAACAUACAAGAAGACCAGGUAGAAGAAACAGGAGGCCUUGACAGAGAGCAAGGUGGGCACAUAAGACCUGUAUAUGUGAAGUCACUAUGUCUGGCUUCUUUUACUUAACCCAGGAGUUUAUUUGGUUUGGUUUUGUUUUUGAGACAGAUGUAUGUAGUCCCAGCACUCUCUAUGUAGACCAGGCUAGCCUCAGACUCACAGAGAUCCUCCUGCCUGUGCAUCCCAAGUGCUGGAAUAGUUCAUCAGCUUCAGUGUUCACAUGUGUUACAUCAUACGUGAGCACUUCCUUCCUGUUUGCAGCCACACAGUCCUCUGGUGUGGCUUUGUUUAUCCAUCUACCUAUGGAUAGACACUUAGGUCGCCUCUGUUGCUGACCAUCAUGAACAGUGUAAACAUCCUUGUACAAGUGUCUCUGUAGAGAUGUGGCUUCAGUUUGGGGACUGUGUACCCAGAAGGAGAAUUGCUGUGUUAACGUUAUGGAGAGUCUGUGCUUACUCUUUGAGGAGCCACCAGACUGUUUCCAGGGCAGCAGUAGCAACAGCAAGAGCAGCAGCAGCGUUACCUCCCCACUGUGGCUGUGCUAGGGUCUGUUUCCUCCAUGUGUGUAGUCCCGGACGGAUGGACAGCAGUCCUGUUUCUUCCAUGUGUAUAGUCCCGGACGGAUGGACAGCAGUCCUGUUUCCUCCAUGUAUGUAGUCCCGGAUGGACGGACAGCAGUCCUCUUCUGCCUUUCUGAUUCUGGCCAUUCUGGUCCACGGCAUUUCCCUGUGACUUGAACUGACCUGCACUUCCCAGCUGACAGACGAUGCUGAGCGCCUUCUCCCAGGUGUGGCCGCUUGCAGCCUCCUCUGAUGCGUGUCUGUCUGCUUAGAUCCUUUGCUCACUUUCAGCUGGAGUGCAUUCGAUUCAAGAUCCUCAGUAGGCAGGUGAGGCAGGCGUGUUGCUUGCCAACUCUCCUGUCCUUUGUCUGUCUUAACUCUUAGUCACUAACCACCGCUUACCCACCCUUUCUGUCACUUGAGCCUACGGUAAGUGAGAAGGGUCAUACUGUCCUAUCACCAUUCUAUAAAUGCUUUUCAUGAGGCCAUGGGAAGAAGGGAUGGUCACACAGGGACAACCACAGGAAUCCCUGGAACAGAAGAACUGUUUUAAUCCCCGUAACCUAGAAUGGUGGCUACCGUGUGAGGAGGUGUGAGCUUCCCAUCCUCCUGGUUCCCUUCCUGCCUGGCCCAGGCCACAGUGGAGCCACGUGGGUACUGGUGACACGGUGACCCUGCUGCCAUCAUUGGACCCAUGCCCUGACUUCCCUUUCUGAACUUCACAGCCACCACAGCCCCUUCUCCUGUUGCCUACUUUUAUCUUCAGGUCGGCUCUCGUGGGACCCAAGCUGCCUGAGAAUGGCCCUGACUUUCUGAUCUUUCUGCCUCUUCCCACCAAGUGCUGAAAUUACAGGCCACUACAUCCUAUUUAUGUGGUAUUGGCAAUGAAGCCCAGGGCUUUCUGCAUCCUAGGCAAACGCUCUGAUAGCUCCACUCCCCCAACCCAUCAUUGCCUUGUGACGGUUUCCCUUCUGCCCACUUUCCUCUUAGCUCCUUCUAUACCAUUCCCCUUUUUGCUCUUUUGAGAUGGUAUCUCUAUAGAACCCUGGCUGUCCUGGAACUCACUGUGUAGACCAGGCUGUACUUAAACUCCCAGAGACUCACCUGCCUCUGCCUCUUGAGUGCUGAGAUUAAAGCUGCGGCAGAAGCCCCGGGAGCUGGUCCCUGUCCAACACGAGGUCCCCAGUGAGGUGGACCAGGUGCACCUGGAGGUUUUGGAGCUGCAGAAGCAGGUGGCUGAGUUAAGGAAGCAUCUCAAGGUGACACCCCAGGGAGAGCCUUCAUCCAGGGAGCAGUUACAGAGACAGGGUGUGGCAGACCGGUACCCCAUGGGCAUGGAAGACCAGACGGAGUCCCCUACUUUCCCCCAGGAAGGGGCACAGCCUCCACAGACCAUAUAUGUGACCCAUCUGCAAAGGAAAUUAAAGGAUGCAGCUAGGAAAAUACUCAGCCUCCGCCUAGAGAGGGAACAGCUCCUAGAAAUGGGAAAUAGACUCCGAGCUGAGCAAGGCCACGCAAAAGGUAUCAAACCCAGGGCCUGUGUGUUCCAGUCAAACACUCUACCACUGAGCCUCAUCCCCAGCCCUGCUAAGGAGAAUUUGAUUCCUCUAUGAAUGAUGUGGGGAAAACCUACCAUACUGGAGGUGGUGAUACCCGCCUAGUAUCCAAGCACUCAGAAGGCACAGGCAGGAAGAUCAUGAGUUCAAGACCAGCCACAGUCAAAAAGUAAAGAGAAGGGAAACCAACUCCUUGCCCAGGUCCUCCCACCUCUGAACCCCAGGACCCCCAGGAGGUGCCUGAGAGAUCUUUGGACCGUGGCCCACCUUUGGGACAAUUGCAGCCCUACUCAACAACUCAGGACCCCAGGCACACCAAGAGAAGAUGUGCUUCUGAGUAUGCAGGGAAGAGUCAACCCCACUCAGCACAAGUGGGCAGCAAAACCAACACCCCACGAGGCCACAAGGCAGAAAUGGCGUCAAGGCCUGCUCAGCUCUCACAGAAGCAGCACAGAAUCCCCACAGAGACUUGGAAGCCAGUUUAUCAGAAAGAAAACAGGACCCCAAAGCUACCACAGGCUCAUGAAGUCCCUGAAGAAAGUGACCACCGUACCCACAGAUCGUCUUCAUUGGCCAGCAGUUCCCUCCAAGACAUCUGGAGGCUGCUAGAGCUGGGAUCCAGCCCUUCGGGCGUCCCCUCACAGGAUAACUCUGUUGCAGAGUGUCCAGCACCUUCAAGACCCAGCUGUUUCCAAAAGGUCAACCGGAGCCCUGUCCCCAUACAAAAGGCCUUUGCUGUCAAAGGGCUAAAGAUGGAAGCUCAGCCAAAAGCCACACCCCCCAGACCCAGCAAGUCUCACCCAGCUAAACCUACAAACUGCCAGCAGCAGCGGCCCUCUAGGAUCCGCAACUACAACCUCAAGGACUAAGUCUCAGCCUCCUGCAGGAGACUGCACAGGGGCUCCACCUUGUACGUGGGGCCUGUGGUUAUACAAGUUGGGAGUGAGAAUACACAUGGUAUACAGGUGGGUUGUGAGCACAGGACAGCAUCCCAAAUGAUGGCCUUUCUGAUGCUAAAGAGCAAUUAAAGCCUCCUCCAUCUGUUUGGCCUGUGAA